rnacentral:rRNA from 1 species
UGAAUUGCAGAAUUCAGUGAAUCAUCGAAUCUUUGAACGCACCUUGCGCUCCUUGGUAUUCCGAGGAGCAUGCCUGUUUGAGUGUCAUUAAAUUCUCAAUCCUUUCUGGGUUUACUCUCAGUUGGGCUUGGAUAUGGGGGUUUUGCCGGCUUUGUAAAACAAACAAAGUCAGCUCUCCUGAAAGACAUUAGCAAGACUCUUGUUGCAACCUUCUAUCUGGUGUGAUAAUUAUCUACAUCAUAGAUUUGUACACUAUGUCUAGCUUCUAACAGUCCAUUAAAUUGGACAAAACUCUGACAAUUUGACCUCAAAUCAGGUAGGACUACCCGCUGAACUUAAGCAUAUCAAUAAGCGGAGGAAAAGAAACUAACAAGGAUUCCCCUAGUAACUGCGAGUGAAGCGGGAAAAGCUCAAAUUUAAAAUCUGGCAGUCUCUGGCUGUCCGAG